UCUCCCACAUCUUCAAAGCUUCGCCAUAUUUUCUCUCUCACCGCCUCUCUCUCUCUCUCACCGCCUGUCUCUCUCUCUCUCUCUCUGACUCAAACUCAGCAGCAAAUUGAGCCGAAAGUGAUGAAUUGAUUCAGCUAAUCAAACUCCACGAACAAGUAGUAAUAGAUCGAAACAAGAGCUGCGACCCUGUUUCUAGAUUUGGUCAAUUUGUGGUAUUUUGGGUACUAAAUUUAUGCAGGCAGAGACGGGGUAAGUAAGAAUCACUCUUUCAAUUCAAUUCCAGUCCCUCCACAUUUUUGUAGUUUGAUUUCAUUUCUUUGAUUAUGAUGCUACCUAGGAAUUUUUUUUUUUUUUUUUGCUACUGGUUCGUUUAUAUACAUAUUUCAACCUUUGUAUAUUAGUGUCAAACUUAAAGCCCUGCACAAUAACGUGUGUUCUGUGUGACAAUGGUUGGGUUGAUGACUUGAUUCCACAACAAAUAUGGUUGAACAUCAUAGAGUUCAUAUUGCAAGAUUAGUUUGUUUUGGUUGGUUGUUUGAGUUCGUGUUUCUUUUUCUGUUUGUUCCAGCUAUCUCGAUUAUGGGAUGGAGCCAAUUGAAAUUGGGUUUGUUCCUAGAAUCCCAUAUGGAGACAUUCUGUGCGUUCUCUUAAAGCAUCAGCUAUGAUGAACAAGAAAUCCAGUAACUGUGCAACUUAUGAGAAUCGAAUCUUGCAUCUAUCUGUGCUGUGUAUGCGCUGAAGAGAUUCCGGAUUUGGCCUGCCGGUUUUGCUAACCCACCGGAUUUAGUGAGGGCUGAUUUUGGGUCGAUAUGGAUGUUUUGAAGAAGUACUUCAGUAAGUCAGAGACUCCAAAGCAUUAGUUUUGUAGAGGGUAGAAUAUGGUGGAGAAAGGAGUCAUUUAUAAGGCAGCAUUGCCAAAUUUUGUGUAUAAGUUCAUUAUCAUAUGAAUUUCACCACAUUUUUCCUUAUAACAAGUUUUCUUUAGCUUCCAAGUCUCUACUUGCAUUC